rnacentral:tRNA from 1 species
GCGCUCGUAGCUCAGUUGGAUAGAGCGUCUGACUACGAAUCAGAAGGUCCCAGGUUCAAGUCCUGGCGGGCGCGC